ensembl:miRNA MIR219A2 microRNA 219a-2
ACUCAGGGGCUCCGCCACUGAUUGUCCAAACGCAAUUCUUGUAAGAGUCUGCGGCCAACCGAGAAUUGUGGCUGGACAUCUGUGGCUGAGCUUCGGG